UCGCCGUCGUGGGGGGGAGGGGGCGUGUGUGGGGACCUGGGGCCGGGGGUCGCCCGCGUCUGCCUCCGCCGCCGCCCCGGACGGGAGCAUCACCCAGGCCCCGGCCGCUAAGCAGGCUGCUCCCGUGCCUUUCCCUCCCGGGAAGUGUCUGGCCCAGCUCUCCGCUCCUGUGGACUCUCCCGUGUCCCUCUCUGCCGCCUCCCGGACCCAGACUUUGCGUCCUGCCCGCAUGGAGACGGGAGGCCGGUGAGCUGUGCCCACAGACGCGGCGCUUUCUCUCAGGGACCAGCUCUCCCUUUCCAUCCAGCUGCAGGACCUACAGCUUCAUGCCGGCUCACCAGCUAGACACCUUCUGACGACGAC